rnacentral:tRNA from 1 species
GGCUGGAUUGUGUAGUUGGGUAUAUCUCUGAGCGUCUAUUAGGAGGUCCCUGGUUCAAUUCCAGGUCUGGCCA